rnacentral:lncRNA from 1 species
UUAUGACUCCCCUUUCAAUGGAGAUGACAAUUUCGUGCUUGGAAAUCGAUUUGGAACUGAUUUGAAGCCCCAAUUUGAUCAAUUUGCACAAGUUAGGGUUUGGUGGGGAAGCUCCUGUUCGUCCUUGAUGAGGUUUGGUGGGGAAGCUCCUAUUCGCUCCUGAUGUUUAGAUCGACCAGACACACUUCUUUUAGUGUGUUUGGUGUUUAAACCUUGUU